UCCUGCGUUCGCAAGACUUGC
ensembl:piRNA 21ur-3572 ncRNA